GAGAGCCCAAGAUUGAAAGCUGGCGUCUUCGGCGUCCGCAUUGUAAUCUCAAGAAGUGUUUUCCGCUUCGGACCAAGCCUAAGUCCCCUGGAAAGGGGCAUCAUAGAGGGUGAUAAUCCCGUACAUGGCUUGGAGCGCCCGAGGCUUUGUGAUACGCUUUCUAAGAGUCGAGUUGUUUGGGAAUGCAGCUCAAAAUGGGUGGUAAAUGCCAUCUAAGGCUAAAUAUUGGGGAGAGACCGAUAGCGAACAAGUACAGUGAUGGAAAGAUGAAAAGAACUUUGAAAAGAGAGUUAAACAGUACGUGAAAUUGCCAAAAGGGAAGGGUAGGAGGUCAGAGAUGCGGCCUGGGAUUCAGCCUUGCUUUUGCUUGGUGUUUUUCCCAGAUUGCAGGCCAACGUCGGUUUUGGGCACUGGAGAAGGGUAGGAGGAACGUGGCACCCCUCGGGGUGUGUUAUAGCCUCCUACUGGAUACAGCGACCGAGACCGAGGACAGCAGCGUACUCGCAAGAGCGGGCCUUCGGGCACCUUUACGCUUAGGGCGUUGGCAUAAUGGCCCUCUACCACCCGUCUUGA
rnacentral:rRNA from 1 species